rnacentral:rRNA from 1 species
UACGUAGGGUGCAAGCGUUGUCCGGAAUUAUUGGGCGUAAAGAGCUCGUAGGCGGUCUGUUGCGUCCGCUGUGAAAACUCGGGGCUUAACCCCGAGCCUGCAGUGGAUACGGGCAGACUAGAGGUAGGUAGGGGAGAAUGGAAUUCCCGGUGUAGCGGUGAAAAUGCGCAGAUAUCGGGAGGAACACCGGUGGCGAAGGCGGUUCUCUGGGCCUUACCUGACGCUGAGGAGCGAAAGCGUGGGGAGCGAACAGG